CAAAUCCCCAAAAACGUAGUCCCAGUUCGGACUGCAGUCUGCAACUCGACUGCACGAAGUCGGAAUUGCUAGUAAUCGCGGAUCAGCAUGUCGCGGUGAAUGCGUUCCCGGGCCUUGUACACACCGCCCGUCACACCACGGAAGUUGGGGGGACCCGAAGCCGGUGGCCUAACCGAAAGGGGGGAGCCGUCGAAGGUAAAACCAAUGACUGGGGUGAAGUCGUAACAAGGUAGC
rnacentral:rRNA from 1 species